GAUGAACGCUGGCGGCGCGCCUAACACAUGCAAGUCGAACGGCACCCACCUUCGGGUGGAAGCGAGUGGCGAACGGCUGAGUAACACGUGGAGAACCUGCCCCCUCCCCCGGGAUAGCCGCCCGAAAGGACGGGUAAUACCGGAUACCCCGGGGUGCCGCAUGGCACCCCGGCUAAAGCCCCGACGGGAGGGGAUGGCUCCGCGGCCCAUCAGGUAGACGGCGGGGUGACGGCCCACCGUGCCGACAACGGGUAGCCGGGUUGAGAGACCGACCGGCCAGAUUGGGACUGAGACACGGCCCAGACUCCUACGGGAGGAAGCAGUGGGGAAUCUUGCGCAAUGGGGGGAACCCUGACGCAGCGACGCCGCGUGCGGGACGGAGGCCUUCGGGUCGUAAACCGCUUUCAGCAGGGAAGAGUCAAGACUGUACCUGCAGAAGAAGCCCCGGCUAACUACGUGCCAGCCGCCGCAGUAACAC
rnacentral:rRNA from 1 species